GUUAAGUAUUUUGAGUUUCAGCCUCUGGCACCUGAAACUGCCUGGAAACAGCAAAGUGUGAGACCCUGAGGAUGGAGUAGGCUGAGACAGAGAUAUCUCAUUCUCUUUGUUGUAAAAGAGAGCAGGCAAGUAUUCAUGAUGUAUUUUUUUAACCUGCUUUAUCUCUGUCUCAUGGUACAGCUUUAACCUGUUGGAUAUUUUUUUAAUUUUCAAAUUAUGGCAAAUGAAUGCAUUCUAUAGUCAGUGGCUCAGCUCAGCAUUGUAAGGAAUGCUUAACAUCAGAGGGGGUCUAGCAGUACUUAAGUUUAAAGCACAAGUAUUAAUGGGUUCCAAAUUCUGCAGUAGGAAUGGAUAUGUAGGAAUACUGCCAAAAUGGGAAGGAUAGAAAAAGAAAGGUAAUAGGAGCAUUUUCUAGAGUCUUCUGAGAUCCACUGUCAGGUAAACAAAUAGGAUAAUUUUGCCACUGAGAAAAUUACAUGAAUUAGGAGGUUGUAGUUCUGUCAUGACCCUGUGCAGGAAUUUCAGAUACCCUACAAAUGACCAGUAAGAAAGGACUUGGUGUGGGACAGGAACUGGAGUUGAAAUCCAAAAGCUAUAAAUCCUAGAAAAUGGCAGAAAUUCAUUCAAUUGAGAUGGAAAAUAGCAAAGAAAUAUCUAAAUAAUCUCCUGACUAAGCAGACCACACAAAAAUAGAUAAGUGGAACAAGAGCAAAACUGGUGUUCUGUGCAAGCACUGGAAGUUUAAAAACUUGAUGAGGAUGUCUCACUCUAAAGGAGCACUCUGAUAGAGAAGGAAUGGCAUUAAAGCCUCUCCCAUACUUGAUGGCCAAAAGAGAUGAGGAUGCCAAGGUUAGGAAAAGAAUAGCAAAUAAACAGGAAAUACACCACUGUACAAAUCCAUUGUGCAUCCUUCCUUAUCUCUGUGUAAUUUAGAGAAGGCCAAGAAAUAAGAUGGCUUGGUACAAUUCGCACAGAAGGAAGAAGGAUUCACACGCUCGUGAUCUUGAUCUCAGAAUUAAAAAAACUUCAUGCUGAAUUUGACAGCUUUGUCAAGAUCUUCAGUGGAAGGGAGACAGGUGAAUGAGGGAGUUAUUUAUCAAAACUGCUUUGUAUUUUUUGUUCUUAUGUUAUCUGGCAAGAUGGAAUAUUGCAAGCUCCCACAUCCUGCUAGGGAGGCAAAAGGUUUGAAUAGGUUCAAUAAAGCAAAAUUUUAAAAAUCAGAUGCUCAAGGGCACUGAGGAGAUUAAAUUGUCCUCAUAUUUUAAUGGGCUGCUUUAAUUGCAACGUACAUACAACAUAUUAAUGAGUGGAGAAGGCCUAUCUAAAUACUAAAUAAAAAAGCACCACUAUCAGCUUUAAAAGUCUGCUCUAUAGAAAAGUCUAAACACCAGAUUUAGGGUAAGAUAGCUCAGAAAAUACAGAAGAAUUGGAGCCAAUAUAAAAUAUGUGAUGUGGUAAUAUUUGCAUAUGAUCAUUAUUAAGUGGCUUCUUUGACAUUCUGUGCAGUCCCCACACUUGAGGAAUUUUCAGCAUUAUCCAGUGUCAGCUGGAACCUGGAAGAAUUUAUAGCAAGAAUCAAUAGCCAGGACUUGAGUGAGAGCUGAUCAAAAACAGAACUGAGAUUUCCCUUUUUAAGAAGCAAGAAGUUCAAACCACAGUUUGCUGGGCACCAUUUGGCACCAGAGAACACCUCUGGAAAAUUUGUCUCAAGCUGUAUUUAGUACAUCCAAAGAAACUGUAGCUCCCACUUGAGCCAUUUCAGCUCAAAUACAAAUAAAUAAAUAUUUUAGAGAGUUGUGUGCUUCUGAGUAAUGUUUAGUUCUAAUAUGUGCCUUUCUAGGUGAGUUCCCACCUCAGAGCAUAUUCAUUUCCAACUGCAAUUCUAUAAGUGUGCACCUGUACUUUGUGUGUUAAAGUCCAUCAAAAAUACACUAGGCAUUGAAAUUCUAAUAUUGAAAGCUUUUAGUAAAAUGGCUAAUGAGAGACCUUCAGACAAGCACUUCCCAGCAAGUUUGUUUUAGAAUAAUUAUAGUUUCUUUCAAUUACUGGCAUUUAAUGACAGGCUGUUGAGACAUUUUUUUUAGUUCCAUAAUCCUUGUAGAGUCCUUUGUUCUUGAAAUUUUAUCACCAUCUUGAUGCAUGAGUGUGAGUUACUCCAGGGAAAUGCUGUUCAAUGCUUGCUUGAAUACAAUUUUAAAAUGUAAUUUUUAUCUUUUCUCUGAUUUGUACCUAGGUCAAAUUCAUGUUAUGAUCUUGGGUUCCUUCUUGAAAACCCACUGCAGCUUCAUUCAGGAUCUUAAAAUAUUAUGUAAGUCACAUCCUGGAAGAUGUGAAAAUAGAUUUUUUUUCAUCUUCUACUUAAAGCAUCCUUUUGAGUUACUAAACUUUCCUCCGAAGUACACUGGUUUUGAUCCAGAAUUUCAUUCCAUGACAUUCAAACUGUUCUGAUCACAUCAAAUGUAAUUCCACCCCCACCGAAACCCACCUCAGGCCUUCUCCCAGCGUGAUCCAGUGAUUUUUUUUUUGAGAUGUUACAGGAAGUUACACACUACCAUUUUGAUACACAACAGUGAAUACACUUUGGAGCCUUUUUUCAGAAUUCCUGGUAGCAUUGCAACUCAGCAAACCGGUUUGAUACAUCUGUGUAAACAAUUUAACUUGUCCCCUGUUCCCUCACUGCUUUGCUUUUGACAAAUUGACAGAAUUUUGACAAAUAUAUUCACCAAAGCUUUCAUACAGUGCCUAUCAUCCCAUUCAAAUGGUUUCUUCACAAAAAAUACCAGUAGUGUUGGUCCUGCUACACCUGUCUUUGUGGUGAUCUACAGGAUAUUUCAACCUCAAUGUCAUGUAUGCAGAAUUUUUUAUUUUAUUUUAGUUGCAAAAAUAUUUGCCACCUGAAAUAUUCUUCACUCAUUGAAGCCAUCAAACAGAAAUAUAAGCAAGGUUGUCUGCUUUCAACAGAGAUCUACAAAAAUCCUCAUUACCUCCUGGGGAAAAAAGGGUAAAAGACAUUUGCAGAGAAAAGUGGGGCAUCUAUUGUUGCUGCAUAUUUAAUUUUAUUUGAUUUACUAUACUUAACUUUCUCCCUUGUUGGCAAAAACAACCUUAGCUGCUGCUCAUGCUGUUUGCCAGCAUCUCCAUCUGCAUCUUUGGUUACUCCUCGGAUUCGUUCUCCUGCAUUUGCAGAACGCUGCUUGCAUCCUCUGCACUCCCGUGGGAAUGUUUCCCCUUUGUGGCUAACAUUCACAGCAGCAUGAAGUUACUCUGGUUGUGGAUGACAUUUUCCUGCAGCUGCAGACACCUGAGCCCAGCUCCCUCUCGAGUCUCUUACGUGGCCUUGGUGAUCACUGCCAGCGAUAAGGGAAUGCCUCUGUCUGGUCUUCGGAAGUCUUGGAUUCGCGCUGUGAAUCCACACCCACGUUUCAGUUCUGUCAGUAAUCCCAAAUCCCCCGUGGGAGAGUUUAUCUGAAUUAAUCUCAUCUUGUAAUUUUGCCAUGUAGGUUUAUUUUGCAACUGGACCAUUCCUUAUCUUACCUUCUGUAGGUUUUCUUUCUCCUGGGAGUGGUUUCCAUAAAACACUCAGAAAGCAUUUAAUUCCGUCUCAAAGUUAGUGCUGCAUUUGCUUGGAAUUUCUGUCUGGCCUGUUUUCUGCUGACCUUUACUUAAAUGAUUAUGUAUAUGCAUGUGUGCACGUGUAUUUGUAGAGCUUUUCUAUCUUCCUCGGGUUUAAUUUUACCCCAUAAGGCAAGCUUUCCUCUCGAGUGUGAUGUCCCAGUUGUUUUAUUAGGAUUGUGACAAGUCUGCUCACACGAGGCACAUCCACAGCACAUCUGAAUGAAAGCAAACAUCCUGUGUUCCUCAGCCUUCUCUAAACCCCAGCAGAUGGCUGCUGCUUCUGCAAACUGCGUGCAAUAGGAUGGAUCACAUUUCCCAUGCAGCAGACUUAUUUCUGGAAUCCAAACCCAGUAUACUUCCAGAAGGUGGGAACAUGGAUCCAGCCACAAAGCAGUUUAGCCCAAACCAGUCCUACACGGUGCCUCCCCACAGCUCAGCCCCUCUUGCUGUUUGGGAUGGAUGUACAGCGGGGCUGAGCCAGCCAGGUGGACUGGUAACAACUUCCACGUGCAAAUCUUUAAACACCAAGCCUAAAAGUUCUGUGUGCAUUUGUUAGAAUCUGUGUGUGUUUAUUUUUUCCCUCUGUGAUUAGGUAUCGCGUGGAGAUAAAAAGUGUUUUUUGGAAUGAUUGGGUUUCCUUGAUGCUUAGAGCCAGUCCCUGCUCAGGAUCCUGGCAGGAUCUGCAGGAGGUGACGUGUAUUUUGUCUGCCUCAGGUAACACUCGGGGGACACGUGCCACAGAGAAUUGUCCUUACCCUGGUUCCCUGCAGCAGCAGUACCCUGAUGUGUCUGUGCUUAACAGAAUCAGGGGCACUUCAGUGUCUGGGUGAAUUAGCAGGAAUCGCAGAAUGACAGAAUGUUUUGGGCUGGAAGAGACCUCAAAGAUCAUCUUAUUUCACUCCCUGCUGUGGACAGGGGCACCUUUCAGUAGACCAGGUUACUCCAAGGAUCAUCCAACGUGGCCCUGACCAGGGAUGGGACAUCCAUAACUUCUCUGCAAAACUUUUCUCAGCUUGAAACUUGGUCCUGAAUGUGUGUGGUGUGUUCAGGGACUCAUUCCCACUCAUUCUUUCUCCCAGAAGAAGGCAACAAAGGCAUUAUUUGGGCUGCAAGUCCAGGCAAAGAGCCUCUGCUAGGUCUGUUGAGAAUGUUUUGUCCUGAGGAGAGGGCAGUUUGGGAGGGGGCUUAAUCUUUCCAUGCUUAAAAUUUUUCUCCAGUGAGCAACAGGCUCAGUCUCAGCCAUUUGUGCCCACUUCCCAUCUCAUGUUGGAGUAUUUAGCAUCAAAGAAGGCUUUUGAAAGAACACCUGCAUUCUUCUACAACUUGUGCACUGAUUUCUUUGCAUGGAUGAUCUUCAAUGGGCUUCACAUCUGUUCUGUUGCAUUCAGAGGCCCUAAAAAUGAUGCCAUUUGUUUAGAAUCAUAGAAUCAUUAGGGAUGGAAAAUACCUCCAAGAUCAUCAAAUCUAGGAAGUAAUUCUAAAGAAUUACAAAAUUUCUGUUGUUUCUCCUCCAAAUACACUGAUUAUAAAAAUGUCUGUGUGCAAGCCAGGCUAGCAUUAACUACCCUUGCGUGCCUCCAUCAGGCAGAACCUCUCUGGUCAUGCAAAGCCAAUAUACAAUUAAUGUAUAUCAUGGGAUAUUCUCCUCCAUCACACCAAUGUAGAAAGCUCCCCGUGGCUCUGGAGUGCAUAUUUCCAUUAAGGAUUCAGUAGGCUAGUCACAGUCCAAAAUAGUCUUCAUUAUUUCCUAAAUCAAAGUUAUUCACACUUCCAAUUUCCUUUAAAAUUCACUGUUUGUUUUGUUUUUUUUAACAAACUGUUGUUAAGCCCAGCACACUGUUGGUCAAAACCUCUGACUAGUUGGAGUAAAAGAUGAGAUUGUUGAUCCUGUCUUCCAACAGCUUCUUCUGUGCUUGAAGAGAUACUCCCCAGAUGGUUAUGACUUUUUUUUCCCACUAAUGGGACUAAGUGUCAUUGACUGGGGUAGGCAGCCAAAGACUUUCUUGAUUUUUUUUAUUUUAUUUUUACAAAAGGUUGUGCUCAGAAAAAUCAAUAUUACAGAAAAAAGCAACCUAUCAGCAUUCCCCUUUAUGUAGAGAGGAAUUUCCAUUUGCUUUAUUUUAUUAUGUAUUCUGGCCACAGAAGGAUGGGCACUGAAAUCAGGUGGAUAACCUGCAGCCAUGGAACUCUGACAAUAAUUUAGUAUAUUUUGCAAAUUGCAAUAUUUUUGCUCUUGUUUUGGUUCUUUAAUCGAGAAGAAAGAUUUACAACUGGUUGUACUGACCCACUCAAAGGUGUUUGUAAAUAAAGUAUGAACCACAAA